UAGCGAGGCAAAUCUGAAUA
rnacentral:siRNA from 1 species